CAAUGUCUUACACUUACCAAAUGAGAUACUUUUUUUUUUUUUUAAUGUGUUAUACUUUUAUUAUUUUUUUGGCAAACUACCCCAUUUUAAUUUAUAUAUUAAAUCUCUCUUUUCUUAUGGUUCACACUUAAACCUUUUAUUUUUUAUUUUUUUAAACCAACUUAAACUUAAUAUAUAUGCUACUACUUUUUUUAUAUAUAUAAUUAUUUCUUUCCCUCUCACAUCCCUUACUUUUCGAUAAAAUAUUAACCUGCUAUUAUUUCUUAAAUUUUUUAAAUUCUUCAACUACCUUACUUACAUCUUUACAUUUAUUUAUAUGUAGUAUAAAAGAUAAUGUAGCUAAAAUUAUAUGUCGAUUAGAAAGUACUCCGUAAUACUUAAAAAAAAAAAAAAAAAAAAGGAGGAUUAUUAAAUUUAGAUAGCCUUAAAAGAAACUACUCCAUAUUAUUUUGACUUUUGAGUGUAACUAACCUCAAAAGGAUCUUCAGUUAAAUUUUUUUUUUAGAAAAAAAUCUAUACAUACAGGUCAUACACUUUAUAAAAGUAUGAUUGUAUGAAGCCUUAUAGUUACGCACUUACGAUUCAUAUGAACAAAUUUUUGUGGCGUUAAUGUUUAUUACAACAAUGCCCCCAUCAUUAAUGAAAUUCCAAUUAUGCCCUUCCCUUAUUUUUCAUUUUCGUGCUUUCACUCUCAAUUAUCAACUGCUCACCAUCACUCAUUUCUUCUCUAUCUCUCUCCUCACUAUCGCUAUCUUUUUCCAUUAAAGCGUGCUCCUCAGUUUCCAAAAGGAUUGAUCGAAAACGGGUGGUGAUCUCGACAAUGAUGUUGGUGCUUGUUUUACAAUGGUUUUUAUCGAGGAAAUCGGACUUAAACGCCCUACCGAUCCUGGGAGUAAAUUGAAAAUUGAUGCGUUUAAUUCACCAAUCAAGAGCAAAUUAAGGUUUAUUUUUUCAAAGUUCGCAACAUCAAACAAACAUCUAGGUAUUCUAUUUUGUUCUUUAAAACUAUAAUUCUUUGCUGUUUAUUUUCUCAUGAAUUAAAAAACAUAAGAUAAUUUUUGUAUACAUGCAAUACUAAUUUAGUGGAAUUGUGAUUUCUGUAUUGUUUGUACUUUAGUGGAGAAAGUUAGGAGAUUUAUGGAGCAAAUGGAGUUUGAAAUACUCCAUACUAUGUCAAUGAUAUGUAUGUUGGUUCAGCUCUACAUUUAAUGGGUAACAUAAUAUCAUUUAUUUUUUUGACUGGUUGAUUUUGUGGUAAAUUAUUUGUGACUUGGUUCUUGGUGACUAUGUAAGACUAUCUAGCUUAUGAAAUCUUAGUUUUGUCCCAUCCUAGUUGGUGAGAAUUUUCUUAUUUUGUUAAUAGAUUAAAGAAAAUUGAAGGGAUUGAUGAAGGUGAAAGUGGGGAAUGGUUGAAGGGGAGUAAGCCAACCACAUAAAGGGAUCAAUACUUAUUUUUACUAGUGUUUCUAGCAUCUACUCACCAAUUUUGUUUGUAUGAAAUGAUUUUUAUGUUUAUCAACUAUGAACGAUUCGAGAAAUAGUUCUUAAAAUAGUUUUCAGCUACUGUGAUUGAUUCUCUCUUUUUCCUUGAGUUAACUGCAAAUUUUCUCUCUGCAAUAUUCUUAGAAUGUGUAGCUUAUUUUUAGACUGUUUCAAUCUGCCUAUGCAGGCAUGAAAAGUGAAAUAGAUGUGUGUAUAAUGACUAAUUGGUUUUCUUUAACAAAGUUAGUAGCAAUAAUUUCAUGUUGACAUGGGAAGCUGGGGUAGCAAGAUGAUCAAAUGGUGAACAUAUACACUAUAGAGGUAAGGAAUAUCUUAUUUUAGUUCUUAGCUAUAAGGCAAUUUGUAAAUUUUUUCAUGUUUACAAAUUUCUGUCCAACUUCAUGAAAACUUAGCUUCGGAUCUUAGUUUGGUCAAAACUAAUAUUGGAUCAACCACUCUGGAUAGAAUCUCUCUUCUUUUCUUUGUUGAAUGAAUUUCUUUCAAGGAUGCUACAGGUUUUGUUUAGUGCUGGCUGCCUUGACAGAAUGCUUUUCUUUCGGUUUGGUAGCUUAUCUACGUCAUCUAUUAUAUGUUUUUCCAUCUUGAUUAAAUGUAUGAAUGUUACCCCUUGACUAACUAGGCUAUGAGACUUCACUUCAUUCUUGAAUCAGACUUUUUUGUAUGUUGCUUAGUCUAUGAGCAACGGGGCCAUUGGAGAGUUGGAAGGGCUCUCCAAGAAUAUUUCUACAAGUGAAACUCUUGAGAAUUUAUGAUCUCCAAUAUUCCCUGAAAUGGGGUAUUUUGAGGAGCUCUUACAGAGCACUCGGAGAGCUCUUGUACUUGAGCUUUUCCCCUUCCCAAGCUAUUUUUCAUCUUACUUAGUCACUUGAGACAUGGUUUGAAUGAGAGAGUGGAGGAUGGAUAAUAGCAUCCCAAGUUGGGGUAGUCCUGCAUAUCUUUACUGCCUUACAAAUUGUUUAGCGUGUACUGUGCAUGUGUACUAGGUGGAGAAUGUAGAAUUAUCUGUAGCAGCAACUAGGUGACAUAUUGAGUUUAAUAUUCCCUUCAAAAGUAUCCCAUGAUAUGAAUUGCUAUUACAUCAAUUUUGCUGAUAUGUAGUUCCAAUUACGUUUGUGUGAUUUUUCUUCCUGAAAUUAAUACAUGUAUUUCCACAUAUCUAAAGAGAAGAAGCUGAUGGCCUAAUGGGCUUUGAAAAAGGUUUUGAGUGGUAGGAUAUAAGGAAAAAAAAAGCCGUGGGGUGGGUUGAAUUACUGAUUUUAAGCGGUUAGUGCAUUGUUUGUUCCUUUGUCUUUUCCUUUUUUCAUCUGUCCAAAUGUCCAAAAGAUCUUUUUAUUUUAUAAAAGGUGUAUAUGAUCAACCUCAGUCUUAUCUAUAUAUUUGGUAACCCAGUUUGAAAUUAUUAUGCAGAAUUUCACAUAAGCUAAUGGUGACAUUAUUGACUAGAAAACUGUUGAAAGAUAGUCUAAUAAGCAUUAAACAGAACUCUCAAUCAUUGGUUUAUUUUUCUUCCCGUUCUUUUCUCUGCACGAGAUGUAUGUUCAUGCUUUUUCAUCGGCCAUUGGCGUAUCAAAUAGUCAGCAGUACAUUAGUGAAUGGUGACUAAAGUGCUUCCAUUGAGUUCUCCCCUCUUUUAUCGCAGCAGGUAGAUAGCCGCACAUGCACCAACCUGCUGUAGCAAUUGCCUAGCAGCCUCUAGCCACAAGACGCAGCAUAUUUGAGUAAUUUAAUUUCUAACUUAACUCGGGUGUAAAGUACAUGGAAGUGAGAUAUAUAUAUAUUGAAGACAGAGACAAAGAGUUGCUCUAUAUUAGAGCUUUAGAUUUUCUAUUCUUUAGACGUUACAAUCCCUUCCUCGUGUACUGAAUUAUAUACAAACAAUUAGUAGUAUUGGUAAUGUACUAAAUUGUGAAUCUACUUAGGAUCUUAAGGGUAUAGAUACAUUAUGUACUGAUAUUUCAUUAAGUAUUGUUUUUGGGAUUUUGAUGAGUUUACAAGCAUUAUGUUAUAAAAUCAAU